GCCAGUUUGGAUCUUUGAGCAGUUGCCUCAUUCAGUGUUCAACAUUCCUUCUCUGAUAUACAACCGGAAUUUUCAUCUAAAAUUUUCUAAAGUUCUUCUCUUUGCCGCGGUGAAAGUACAAGACCAGUAAAUAUCUGACGAUGGAACAAGACCCUUCAAACGACAUUUUAAGUAGCGAAGAAAUGGAAGAAUUGAAAGAACUGACCAAUCUGUACAAAAGGAUCAUUGAAAAAUUGGAUGAACUUGUAAGGGAACGAGAAAUUCUAUGCUACCAGAUUGAAUCCAUCAUCUGGCUGUGCAAUCGCUAUAGUCUACCUAGUCAACAAGAAAUGUUGUUGUAUCAUAUAAAUAAUGUAUUGGGCAAUAAUGAUUUUACAGUUGAAGACGGGGAUCUCUUAGAAUAACCCUGUCGUCAAUGUUUUCUGUUUGUUUUAAAUGCUUUCAAAGUCAACAAAAUUAUAAUCCCAUGUAAAAGUGCGCCAGUCAACGAAGAAUGUCAAGCAAAAUAUAUAAUUGUCAAGAUGGAUACAACCUAUGGAUUUGCAAUCGCUAUAUGUAUGCUACCUAGUCAACAACCAAUAAAUAAUUUAUUGAACCAUGAUGAUAUAUGACGAUUCUUAAGAUGAUGGCGGUAAUCGCAUGCAACCCCCGUUUCGUCAAUUUUUUCUGUUUGAUUUAAAUGCUUUAGAUAAAAUUUGACAAAGUCAACAAAAUUUUAAUUCCAAGUGAUAGUAAGCCAGUGAAUGAGGAAUGCCGAGCUACAUAUAUAUUUUUCAAGAUAGAUCCAUCCUCUGGCUGUGCAAUCGCUAUAAGCUACAAAAUCAACGACCAACGUUGUUGUACCAUAAAAAAAAAAUUUUUUGAACAAUGAUGAUUCUUCAGAUGAAGGCGGCGAUCGUCAAGUUUUUCCGUUUCCUUUAAAUGCUUUUAAGAUGGUUUUUGGCAAAGUCAACAAAAUUAUAAUCCCAUGUGAAAGAAAGUCAGUGAAUGAAGUAUGUCAAGAUAAAUAUAUAAUUUUCAAGAUGGAUGAACAAAAUUAUGAAACCUUGUGAAAGAAAUGCCAGUGGAAGAGUAAUAUCAAGAAAGCCUGAUCAAUACAUUUAUAUGGAACUUGAAGUACUUGAUAAAUAGUAUUUUGGAAGAUAUUUACCUUUGUACUGGUUGACUUACUUAAAGAAAUAUACAUUUUACGCUCCUGGGAUACUAAAAA